rnacentral:lncRNA from 1 species
AUCUCUGGCAGAAACUAAGCCCUGGGAAUGAGAGCUCCAAAAACUGAAAGCAGGAAAUCUCCUGGAAAUCAUUACACAACCCAGGACUGUUGCGACACAUCUGAGGUAUAAUAAACAAGGUGCUCGACAUACCAGCAAUACCAAUGCUCUGCCCUGCGUCACUGCCACCCACUUGCAGGAGACUUUUGUCUGUCCCCAAACCUCUUCUGAGCCUCAAGAGAUCCUGCUGAGAUCUCCAGGCUGAGAUCCUGCUCCAGUGUUAUCCUGGUCACCCAGCCCCAAGCUGCCACCGUCCUGGAGGGAGAGCCCUGGUUUCAGUCUGUGGGCUGACAGUGGAUUUCAGUGCAGACAUCAGGCAGCGCAGCUCUUCCCGCAUCAGCUCACACCUGCUCUGCAAAGCUGCUCUCCAUCCAACACACACAGCCUGUUUGCAAGCUCCGUGUAUGUUUGCAUAACCUCGGGUUUUUUUGGCCGGAAACCAGGCUUUUGGGAGGAUUUCUCAGGCUUUCAAAACCCAUCAUGGUGCUGGGGCUGUGAGUACGUGUGCUCUAACCACACAACGUGACAGGCAGGAGGAAGGAGCGGCGGCCGCGGGAGGGAAAGAUGGGUCUGUCCAAGCUGUGAAAGCAGACUUUCUGGGAUCACACCUUGCUUUUUUUCCUCUCCUCAGAGAUAUUUUCUUUCAAACAUCAUAAAAAUGUAUUGGAUAUUCUUUCAAGGAUGCCCAGGAGAGAGAGCAGAAGGAAAGGCAGCCUGCAGCGUGGCUCUGUGGAUAACUGAUUGCUUUGCUCAUUUUGGUCUGACCCAGAACAAAUAUGUUUCAUUUUUCCAAUGAGCUGGUAAAAAAAAUACAGUCCCCUUAUUUCUAGUUUACUUAGAGCUGUUUUUUUUUACUUUUCUUUUUUUUUAUUCUCUUCUUAAUGCAGGGCAAUUUCAGAACAAAAAACCAAAAUCAAGACUUGAAAAAUCACUUUUCAGGGUUUUCUUAUUCUUGUCAAUACGAUUUUCCCCGUUCAGCCUGAUUUCACAAACCAUUUACA